CAGCAUAUGAUAACUGGCCAAGCUAUCUACUCCAUAGCCUGUGUCAAAAGCUUGUGCUAUGUUGUGAUAGCUGGGUUGAAGAAAUGCAAUAUUAAAAAAAAAGCCAUGAGUCUUUUAAGCCCAGUGUGUAAAGACAUACUCUGAGUUAUAACUCAUAGCCACAACU
rnacentral:snoRNA from 1 species